UGAAAUGUACAAAUAUGGAGGUAAUGGAGAAGUUUGUUUUCUACACACGUAAAUAUACAAUAUGAACAUUCUGAUGUAACUUUUUUCCCUCGUUGCAUCCAUACAAGGAAGAAUGAUUUCCAAAUCAGACCAAUAGCCUUUGGCAGUUGACCACAAUUAGAUGUUUUAUGUAUUUUUUGAUCAACAUUGAAAGACAACAAAAGGUGCAUUGAAGGAAUUGAACUACACCUUUUCUUUGUGGCAAAAAGUCACUGGAGAGAGACAGUAAAAACAAUCUAUGUAAAGCACCACACGGGGUAAAACUGUAUGGAGGGAGAGACCUUGACUGUGCCAGCAGGACGCCUGUUGCCUUGACCUCCCAUCUUCAAGUUCUCCAAGAAACAACAGCAUGCAACAGCUUUAUUUUUAGCUUAUUGCACCUUGACUCAUCCGAGGGCCAGUUCCCUCCCCAGCGGGCCUUCAUCCUUGUGUUUCGUUUAAGGUUCAUGACAUGCUCAAGACUAUCGGCUAUACUGUAUUUUUCUUUUUCUUUCCAACCAAUUUCACUGAAAGGUAUUUGUAUUUCCUCGAUCUUGAGCCGUUUCUUCCAUGUCAAGAGCAGAUUGCGACCAUGUAGAUAUUGAUUAUUCGAUCAGGCCUGAGAAAGCUGCUCAGUCGUGAAAAGACAAAUUAGCUGCAAGCUGCUGACCAAUUGCUACAAACCAAUCACAUCAUCGUAAGCGCCUGAUUGUAUCAAUGCCUUCCACAACGGAGUCGUUAAGGUUUAUGAAGAGGCAAAAAACCGUGGUGGGUUGUUUUCAAUAAACAGAGAGACACACUGGUCUGUGGGAUGCUUCCUCUGUGUGAGAGGCCCCAAUUAGACCUCAUGUAUUUACAGAUGGUGGAGAUGAACACAAAGCGACACAGGUGCAGCAGGGCCAACAUCAUCCUGCUGUAACUAUGACAACACUAGAUUGAUUCAGGACGUGGGAAUCAGGGGGUAGGAUGGGACUGCAUUUCAUCAGUGUGGUAACAGAUUGCAAGUCUGCAACCUCCUAAUCUGCAAUCCCUCUCCUCAUCAUAUAGCCCUCUGGCAUAAUAAUAUCUGCCUACAAUUCAACAGAAUGGCCUUAUUCAUCUAUGCAGCUGCGCUUCUUCACUACAGGCGCACCUUCCAAUUGAAAUUCUGAAUAGGCCUAAUUCUGCACAUGCUGCAUUACAAAAUGGCUUGCAUCCAUUCUCUCUCUCUCUCUCUCUCUCUCUCUCUCUCUCCUCUCUCUUCAGGGGUAAUGACAACAUGACUGCACCCACAAAAAAAAACAAUCCAUAUAGGCUCAGGUUUUUUUUUGGUGUGAAAAUAUGACAUGACAUGUGAAACGCACAGGCUUACAUAAGGAAUUAUUUCAAUACAUUUCCAAAACA